UACGUAGGGGGCUAGCGUUGUCCGGAUUUAUUGGGCGUAAAGAGCGUGUAGGCGGCCAGGUAGGUCUGCUGUGAAAACUCGAGGCUCAACCUCGAGACGUCGGCGGAAACCAUCUGGCUAGAGUCCGGAAGAGGAGAGUGGAAUUCCUGGUGUAGCGGUGAAAUGCUUAGAUAUGACAUAGAACACCGAUAGCGAAGGCAGCUUGCUACACGAGUAUUGACACUGAGGCACGAAAGCGUGGGGAUCAAACAGG
rnacentral:rRNA from 1 species